rnacentral:tRNA from 1 species
GAGGGUAUAGCUCAGUGGUAGAAUGCAUGCUUAGCAUGCAGGAGGUCCUGGGUUCAAUCCUUGGUACCUCCA